UCCGUAGGGGGCAAGCGUUGUCCGGAUUGACUGGGCGUAAAGCGCACGCAGGCGGACGCGCGCGUGGGGUGUGAAAUCUGGCCGCUUAACGGCCAGGCGCCAUCCCAUACGGCGCGUCUGGAGUGAUGCAGAGGUCGGUGGAAUUGCCGGUGUAGUGGUGAAAUGCGUAGAGAUCGGCAGGAACACCCAGGGGGAAACCAGCCGACUGGGCAUCUACUGACGCUGAGGUGCGAGAGCGUGGGGAGCGAACCGG
rnacentral:rRNA from 1 species